CGUGCUAAUUUAGCCACAGUGGCAAAUAACAACUCUACAAGUUUAGCCUGCUGCUAGAAAUUAGCUAAAAAAAAAGUUCAUAAUAUUAGGAACCAUUGAAAAAUACUCUUUAAGUUUUUCAUCGGGCCGUUUUUAUGAAAACAUGU
rnacentral:snoRNA from 2 species